CCAAGUGGAUAGGGAUGAGUUGGUUUUAGUUUGAAUUCAAAUUUGAUUUGAAUUCAAAUGUGUAACCACUUGUCUUUAUCCUUUCACGCGGAUAAGACACAUUUUGAACUGUUUUAAAAGAGAUAGGGAGCUGGGGCAUGCGUAGAAAAAUUUUGAGAAAGAAAGUGGGGCAUGGGGAAGCCUUGUGUGUGAGGUGAAGGUCCAAAACCUUCCGAGAGAAAAAGAAAGAAAAGAAAAAAAAUUGGGCGUAGGGUUUUUGGUGUGUACCCUAGGGUUUCUACCUAGGGUUCGGGAAGUGAGAUUUGUGUGCCACGAGUGUCGUGAGUCCACCAAAUUUCAAGGAG
rnacentral:lncRNA from 1 species